rnacentral:rRNA from 1 species
ACAACCUGCCUUCGGGAUGGGGACAACAGACGGAAACGACUGCUAAUACCCAAUGAACUAACCGAGCGAGUGCAAGGAAGAGGAAAGGUGGCCUCUCGAAGAAGCUACCGCCGGAAGAGGGGUUUGCGUCUGAUUAGUUAGUUGGUGGGGUAACGGCCUACCAAGACGAUGAUCAGUAGCCGGUCUGAGAGGAUGAACGGCCACACUGGAACUGAGACACGGUCCAGACUCCUACGGGAGGCAGCAGUGGGGAAUCUUCCGCAAUGGACGAAAGUCUGACGGAGCAACGCCGCGUGAGUGAAGACGGCCUUCGGGUUGUAAAGCUCUGUUAUUCGGGAAGAAAGAGCCGCUUGUAAAUAAUGAGCGGAAGUGACGGUACCGAAAGAGAAAGCCACGGCUAACUACGUGCCAGCAGCCGCGGUAAUACGUAGGUGGCAAGCGUUGUCCGGAAUUAUUGGGCGUAAAGAGCGCGUAGGCGGUCAUGCAAGUCAAUCUUAAAAGUGCGGGGCUUAACCCCGUGAUGGGAUUGAAACUGUAUGACUUGAGUAUCGGAGAGGAAAGUAGAAUUCCUAGUGUAGCGGUGGAAUGCGUAGAG